rnacentral:rRNA from 1 species
GAUGAACGCUGGCGGCGUGCCUAAUACAUGCAAGUCGAGCGAACAGACGAGGAGCUUACUCCUCUGACGUUAGCGGCGGACGGGUGAGUAACACGUGGAUAACCUACCUAUAAGACUGGGGUAACUUCGGGAAACCGGAGCUAAUACCGGAUAACAUGUUGAACCGCAUGGUUCAACAGUGCAAGACGGUCUGGCUGUCACUUAGAGAUGGAUCCGCGUCGCAUUGGCUAGGUGGUAAGGUAACGGCUAACCAAGGCAACGAUGCGUAGCCGACAGGAUGGGGGAAUCGGCCAACCGGAACCGGAGCAACGUCCCAGCUCCCAACGGAAGCCAGCAGUAGGAAUUCUUCCGCAAGGGGCGAAAGCCUGACCAGGCAACGCCGCGGGAGGAAAGAAGGCCUUCGGAUCGAAAAACCCUGUUAUUAGGAAAAAACAAAUGUGUAUGAAACUAUGCACGUCUGGAGGGAACCUAAUCAGAAAGCCACGCCAACCUCCUG